rnacentral:lncRNA from 1 species
UGUAUCUCCUCUUCAGUAAAAUGCUUGUUCAUGUAUUUCACCUAUUUUUCAUAGGAUUUUGUAAUGAUGAAUAUUGAGACUUCUUUAUAUAUUCCAGAUAUAAAUCCUUUGUUGGAUGUGUGAUUUUCAAAUAUUUUCUCCUACUAUGUUGCCUGUCUUUUCACCUUCUUAAUGAGGUCUUUCACAGAGCAGGUGUGUUUAAUUUUCCUGAGGUCUAAUAUAUUAAAUUUUCACACUUUUGGUGUCAAGUAUAAAAACUUGAAGAUUUUCUUCUAUGUUAUUUUUUUCUCAAAGUUUUAUACUUUUACCUUUGCGUCUGUGAUCCAUUCAUAUUUUUCUUAAAGCUAAGUAAAUUUGGUGCUGAGUGAAGCCUAUUGCGUCUUGUAAGCUAUGUUGUCAAUACCAGCCCGUGACUAUCACUGCAAGUAGCACGGAUUGGGUGUCAUCCAUAAUGUCUUCUCCUUCCUUUUACUGCCUGGUUCUCUGACAUAUAGGACUAACAUGAUAUAUAAACCCUAUAGCUCCUAGAAACAUUUUAGUGGCUACUAAGCUCAGAAAUAAUUUGCCAUCUCUGAGGCAGGUGAUUUUUUGAUUCUUCUUUAAUUUCAUUUUUAGGACACCAAAAGCAAGAGUUGAGUCCACAGUGGUUAGCUCACCAAUUUUCUCCUUUUGAAUGAAAGACCGAAGCUGUAUCUAGUUAUCACCUACACUAAUUCUGGCUCUCUACCUGAGAGUAGAGGAGCAGCUUCAAGCUGAGGAUUACCUCCCUCUGAUGUGCCAUCCUGUCUACAAUAACCAAGUCUUCACACUGGAAUUCACUGAAAACUGCUCCCCAAUCCAGCUGGUGUCUUCUGCAGGGACGUUAAAGAAAUGGAGGAGGAUCCUUUUCCUGUCCUCUCUGCGCUGCUCCCACCUGCUCACCCAAGCAGGAGGAGAGAGGCAGAGAGAGCAGCUGCUGCUGAUCACCUUUGGCAGAGGAGGAUCUGCCAGAAACAGUCUCCGUUCCAUGGAAAGAAGGAUCGAGGAGAGGGAAUCACUCUCAGAGGGCUGGGCAGAAGGAGGACUCCCGAAGCCUCCGAAGGAAGGAAAUCAUUACAGGGCCGGCAGAAGUGGGGCAUGUGCUGCAGCUGCUCGUGGUUUAAGAGGAAGAAACACGGGACCUCAAACCUGGAACACAACUCUUUCAAAAUGCUUGUGAGCCGCCCAAGAAAAACAUCCUCCGAGGCUUAUCUAAUAACCGUGGUCUCUAAUCGUCUCAAUGUGUGCUCAGCUUCCCUUCGGAGUUUGCACCUACUUCCCAGAGCUAACGAGAUGCUGAGACUGAACACAGAGAAAUUUAAUGAAGGGGAUUUAAUAGUUUGUGUUAAAGCUAAUAUGGUCCAUUAG